rnacentral:ribozyme from 13 species
CAAGAAAACAAAAGCGAAAUAAAAGAAAGACAAUCAACAGCAAAAAAAGUAUUUGCAAAAUUCCUCUCUCCCUCUCCUUCUUCUCCCCUCCCUCCCUCAACUUCCUUUCUCUCUCCCCCUUCUCCUUCUCC